rfam:Citrus clementina cultivar Clemenules unplaced genomic scaffold scaffold_3, whole genome shotgun sequence.
UGAUGCGACCAUACCAGCACUAAUGCACCGAAUCCCAUUAGAACUCCGCAAUUAAGCGUUUUUGGGUGAGAGCAAUACUAAGAUAGGUGACCUCUUGGGAAGUCCUCGUGUUGCACCCC